AGGUCAUACCACUUGCAAUCAGAGACACGAGGGCACCAAAAGUUUGAGUAUGGAUCCUAUGAAUAAUGUUCAAAUGCAUACGAGCCAGGGAGGAUUUAGUACGCCCAAAAAGAACACAAACAUACCUCUCUUCUCUUCGUCUUUUAUACCUGAAUGUGAUGAGCAUCUGAAGCCUAAAGUGGGUAUGACAUUUGAAGGACUCGAGGCUGUGGAGAAGUUCUACAAGGAAUAUGCGCAUCAAUCAGGUUUUGGUGUUCGCAUUGGAC